rnacentral:rRNA from 1 species
AUGAACGCUGGCGGCGUGCUUAACACAUGCAAGUCGAACGGAAAGGCCAGUGCUUGCACUGGUACUCGAGUGGCGAACGGGUGAGUAACACGUGGGUGAUCUGCCCUGCACUUCGGGAUAAGCCUGGGAAACUGGGUCUAAUACCGGAUAGGACAAUGGUUUGGAUGCCGUUGUGGAAAGUUUUUUCGGUGUGGGAUGAGCUCGCGGCCUAUCAGCUUGUUGGUGGGGUAAUGGCCUACCAAGGCGUCGACGGGUAGCCGGCCUGAGAGGGUGUACGGCCACAUUGGGACGGAGAUACGGCCCAGACUCCUACGGGAGGCAGCAGUGGGGAAUAUUGCACAAUGGGCGCAAGCCUGAUGCAGCGACGCCGCGUGGGGGAUGACGGCCUUCGGGUUGUAAACUCCUUUCGCUAGGGACGAAGCGUAUUUGUGACGGUACCUGGAGAAGAAGCACCGGCUAACUACGUG